rnacentral:rRNA from 1 species
AUUGAACGCUGGCGGCAUGCCUUACACAUGCAAAUCGAACGGUAACGGGCCUUCGGGUGCCGACGAGUGGCGAACGGGUGAGUAAUACAUCGGAACGUGCCCGAUCGUGGGGGAUAACGAGGCGAAAGCUUUGCUAAUACCGCAUACGAUCUACGGAUGAAAGCAGGGGACCGCAAGGCCUUGCGCGGACGGAGCGGCCGAUGGCAGAUUAGGUAGUUGGUGGGAUAAAAGCUUACCAAGCCGACGAUCUGUAGCUGGUCUGAGAGGAUGAUCAGCCACACUGGGACUGAGACACGGCCCAGACUCCUACGGGAGGCAGCAGUGGGGAAUUUUGGACAAUGGGCGCAAGCCUGAUCCAGCCAUGCCGCGUGCAGGAUGAAGGCCUUCGGGUUGUAAACUGAUUUUGUACGGAACGAAAAGCCUUCUUUUAAUACGGGAGGGUCAUGACGGUACCGUAAGAAUAAGCACCGGCUAACUACGUG